rnacentral:lncRNA from 1 species
CACCCGGGAAGAGAAGUAGCUGGCGCCUUAGAGCUCUGCUAGAUAUAACAUCUCAACUAUCAGGAGAAGCAGCGUGCUGUGUGCUAUGAGGACCUAAAGCACUUGUUCAGAGCCAAUUUCUUUGAGGAAUUUGCAACUACCCUGAGAUCUGGAGAAGGACAAGAUUGUAACAGGCAACAGAGAAGAAAGACUACAAAGACCCAAGUCAAGGUCAUGGGCAUUAUGGAUGAAACCAAAGCCUGAAGAAAGAUAUUUAAAACCAAAGAGAAAAACCUUGAGGAAAAAAAAC